CAGAAAAAACUUGGCCUCAUACAAGAGGCAGGGAGCAGCUGAAGAUCAUUUGUAUGUGAUUAAGUAGGACAGAUUAAACUCAUUUAUCUUUAAAGAGGAGGGAGCUGCACCUAAAAUCAAGAGGCAUAUGACAUCAAACAGAAUAUUUGUUGGUUCUAUUUUUAAUUUUUAUAUUGAUCUCACAUUCCAAGUUAAGCUUUGUGUUUAACAUAAUGUAUUUCUGUAUUUAGAGCCUAUGAUCGAACAGCUAUCAAAUUCAGGGGCGUUGAAGCUGACAUCCAUUUUAGCUUUAAGUGAUUCUGAGACAGAUCUGAUGCAGGUAGGAUAGUGAUAGAAGUAAAUUCA
rnacentral:misc_RNA from 1 species